AACGAACGCUGGCGGCAUGCCUAACACAUGCAAGUCGAACGAGACCUUCGGGUCUAGUGGCGCACGGGUGCGUAACGCGUGGGAACCUGCCCUUAGGUUCGGAAUAACUCCCCGAAAGGGGUGCUAAUACCGGAUAAUGUCUUCGGACCAAAGAUUUAUCGCCUUUGGAUGGGCCCGCGUUGGAUUAGCUAGUUGGUAGGGUAAAAGCCUACCAAGGCGACGAUCCAUAGCUGGUCUGAGAGGAUGAUCAGCCACACUGGGACUGAGACACGGCCCAGACUCCUACGGGAGGCAGCAGUGGGGAAUAUUGGACAAUGGGCGAAAGCCUGAUCCAGCAAUGCCGCGUGAGUGAUGAAGGCCUUAGGAUUGUAAAGCUCUUUUAACCGGGAUGAUAAUGACAGUACCGGGAGAAUAAGCUCCGGCUAACUCCGUG
rnacentral:rRNA from 1 species